ACCACCACAAGUUUGAGGACAUGUACAUCCCCACCACACCCACGCAGUGACGCACACACAUCCUCCUACCAACGAGCCAGCCAACACACACGGCCUAUAUGUAUGGUACCCCUUCUUUCCCCAUCACCUAUCUUCCCAGUUCCCACACUCUCACUUUGCAAUCCAGCUGUACGAAUGCAUCUCUCGUGCAAUCAGCUCAGCUAGGCUAGUGAGAGUGCAUACAUGGCUGUACAUCAUCGGUCGAUGGUGAUAUCAUUCGAUGGAAUGGUUCAAGAGAUCAGUCUCCAUGCAUAUACCACUAGCUAUUGCUAGCACAUUGUGAUACCAAAGGCGGGCGGCGACAAUGUCGCCAAGUUUCUUCUUGAUCUAAUCACGGUAUGUAUGCUGGAAAAAGAAUCCAACCAAGCUUGUUUAGUGUACUUAAUGUCUGCGCAAUUCAUUUUAUCCAUGUAUAUUUUUUUUUGUAUUGGACAAUCAUAUGAGUGCAUUUUAGUUGAAGUAAUUCUCACAUGUUAAAUUUUCUAUGUUUUUUUUUCGGGAGAUUAAAUUUGCUAUGUUUGGGCCCAUGCAAAUCGUGGAGUGUAUGAGCAAGCAAUUUCUCUUAUAGGCAAAUCAUUUUUUAAUGAGCAUCAGUAUUAAAGUUGCUUUAGCUUCCUCAAAUUGCUUAGAUCGUACAUCCUUAGCAUGUACUAGCAUCAAGUUGAAAUUUCAGAUUAUUUGACCCAGUUAUGACUUACUCACACUUCACCCGUCUGCCUCCAAGAUGGUAAUCAGUUCAGGUCUGCCUCCAAGGUGCUUAGCCUAGCUGCCGGAAGGGAGAAUAACAAAGCUAGUACAUGUUGGCAGGAAAGCAAAUGUGGUAGCCCAUAGCCUGGCUCAACUAGGACAUAGAGAGUUGUGUUGUGGUGUUAUGCAAGGUCAGGUUCCGUCAUGCGUGAUGGAGCUUGUCGUGCAAGAUUGUAAGAACCAGCUACCUAUUGAUUAAUACACAACUUCCCUCUAAAAAAAAGGUGUUUAGCCUAGCUGCUUUGAAGAGUUACGAGAUGAACAUUUUCAAAUGUUCCCUAUAUCCAAAAAUGUAAUGUUGUUCACAUUUGUGCGCACAUAAUUGAUCUGAACUAUUCUUUUCCCGAUCA